CAAGUCUGGUGCCAGCAGCCGCGGUAAUUCCAGCUCCAAUAGCGUAUAUUAAAGUUGUUGCAGUUAAAAAGCUCGUAGUUGAACCUUGGGCCUGGCUGGCCGGUCCGCCUCACCGCGUGUACUGGUCCGGCCGGGCCUUUCCUUCUGGGGAACCUCAUGCCCUUCACUGGGCGUGUUGGGGAACCAGGACUUUUACUUUGAAAAAAUUAGAGUGUUCAAAGCAGGCCUUUGCUCGAAUACAUUAGCAUGGAAUAAUAGAAUAGGACGUGUGGUUCUAUUUUGUUGGUUUCUAGGACCGCCGUAAUGAUUAAUAGGGAUAGUCGGGGGCAUCAGUAUUCAAUCGUCAGAGGUGAAAUUCUUGGAUUGAUUGAAGACUAACUACUGCGAAAGCAUUUGCCAAGGAUGUUUUCAUUAAUCAGUGAACGAAAGUUAGGGGAUCGAAGACGAUCAGAUACCGUCGUAGUCUUAACCAUAAACUAUGCCG
rnacentral:rRNA from 1 species